GUCUAUGGCCAGGUGCAUGCACCCAAUCUUGUCUGCUCUCUAAAACCAAGCAGCGUCAGACCUGGUUAGUUCUUGGAUAGGAGACUGACUGGGAAUACCGGGUGCUGUAGGCU
rnacentral:rRNA from 1 species